rnacentral:rRNA from 1 species
AACGAACGCUGGCGGCAGGCCUAACACAUGCAAGUCGAGCGCCCUUUCGGGGGAGCGGCGGACGGGUGAGUAACGCGUGGGAAUAUGCCCUUCUCUACGGAAUAGCCUCGGGAAACUGAGAGUAAUACCGUAUACGCCCUUUGGGGGAAAGAUUUAUCGGGGAAGGAUUAGCCCGCGUUGGAUUAGGUAGUUGGUGGGGUAAUGGCCUACCAAGCCGACGAUCCAUAGCUGGUUUGAGAGGAUGAUCAGCCACACUGGGACUGAGACACGGCCCAGACUCCUACGGGAGGCAGCAGUGGGGAAUCUUAGACAAUGGGGGCAAUCCUGAUCUAGCCAUGCCGCGUGAGUGAUGAAGGCCUUAGGGUUGUAAAGCUCUUUCAGCUGGGAAGAUAAUGACGGUACCAGCAGAAGAAGCCCCGGCUAACUCCGUG